GUUUUAUGAAGACGGCAGUCUAUUACCAUGCUCAAGGCCCACUAUCACCAAAUAUCUUUUUUUUUUUUCAACUGUUCAUGAAUUCAUGCAUCCUUCAAUCCAUCCACUUUCUGUAUCACUUGUCUUCGUAAGAUCAUGGUAAUAAAUGAGUUGGGCCUUGUACAUUCCUCCCAUUAAUUUCCCCCAGAUUAAAGAAAUGUGAAAUCUUUACCACACAAAAACUUCUAAAGCAAUUGCGACCGGGAGAAAAACCCCCCGCUAAAUGUCUCCACAUAUUUUUGUUUGUGAUACUAAUCCAUCCCCAUUCAACUUCAUUUAAUGGGACAAGGGCACUCCACCAUUACAAAGCUCCAAUUGUUUAAUCCACUCGGAGGUUUCAAGUUCCAGCAGGGUCCUGAUUCCUGUCUGGCUGACUCUCCUAGUAUUGCAGGCGUUGUUCAGGAGGAGAGAACCGCACUGACGUAAAUACCAUACAGACACAGUGUUUGUGUGUUCGUAGUUCCAACCGGUUAAUGGGUUAGCUCACACUCCCUUCAAUCCCGCCACGCUAACUCGCUUCGGCAGCAGCGCCCCUGUAGUGUAUGUGAACCAGCCUGACGUGAACUUGUUGGAAACAACGGCGCACUGUCUGUGCGAUGUGAAACAAGUCAAGUAACCAUAGACGAAGGGUGACCAUAUUUUAACUUGCUUUGACACUCAGCCUGACCUCGGGAUAUGAGAUGAAAUACAAAGAAGCCACACAUUAUAAAUGUCAUGGUUUUUAAGUAGGGUUGCUCAAGAUGGGAAAAACA